AUGAACGCUGGCGGCGUGCCUAAUACAUGCAAGUCGAGCGAACAGAUGAGGAGCUUGCUCCUCUGACGCUAGCGGCGGACGGGUGAGUAACACGUGGAUAACCUACCUAUAAGACUGGGAUAACUUCGGGAAACCGGAGCUAAUACCGGAUAAUAUAUUGAACCGCAUGGUUCAAUAGUGAAAGACGGUUUUGCUGUCACUUAUAGAUGGAUCCGCGCCGCAUUAGCUAGUUGGUAAGGUAACGGCUUACCAAGGCAACGAUGCGUAGCCGACCUGAGAGGGUGAUCGGCCACACUGGAACUGAGACACGGUCCAGACUCCUACGGGAGGCAGCAGUAGGGAAUCUUCCGCAAUGGGCGAAAGCCUGACGGAGCAACGCCGCGUGAGUGAUGAAGGUCUUCGGAUCGUAAAACUCUGUUAUUAGGGAAGAACAAAUGUGUAAGUAACUAUGCACGUCUUGACGGUACCUAAUCAGAAAGCCACGGCUAACUACGUG
rnacentral:rRNA from 1 species